rnacentral:rRNA from 1 species
CAGUAGCCACGGUAAUACGAGGGGGGCAAGCGUUGUUCGGAUUUAUUGGGCGUAAAGGGUGCGUAGGCGGUUUGGCAAGUCUUGUGUGAAAUCUUCGGGCUCAACCCGAAGCCUGCACGAGAAACUACCGGGCUUGAGUAUUGGAGAGGUGAGUGGAAUUUCCGGUGUAGCGGUGAAAUACGUAGAUAUCGGAAGGAACACCUGUGGCGAAAGCGGCUCACUGGACAAUAACUGACGCUGAUGCACGAAAGCUAGGGGAGCAAACAGGAUUAGAUACCCGAGUAGUCCCUGUCUCUUAUAC